GGUUAAGCGACUAAGCGUACACGGUGGAUGCCCUGGCAGUCAGAGGCGAUGAAGGACGUGCUAAUCUGCGAUAAGCGCCGGUAAGGUGAUAUGAACCGUUAUAACCGGCGAUUUCCGAAUGGGGAAACCCAGUGUGAUUCGUCACACUAUCAUUAACUGAAUCCAUAGGUUAAUGAGGCGAACCGGGGGAACUGAAACAUCUAAGUACCCCGAGGAAAAGAAAUCAACCGAGAUUCCCCCAGUAGCGGCGAGCGAACGGGGAGGAGCCCAGAGCCUGAAUCAGCAUGUGUGUUAGUGGAAGCGUCUGGAAAGGCGCGCGAUACAGGGUGACAGCCCCGUACACAAAAGCGCAUGUGCUGUGAGCUCGAUGAGUAGGGCGGGACACGUGGUAUCCUGUCUGAAUAUGGGGGGACCAUCCUCCAAGGCUAAAUACUCCUGACUGACCGAUAGUGAACCAGUACCGUGAGGGAAAGGCGAAAAGAACCCCGGCGAGGGGAGUGAAAAAGAACCUGAAACCGUGUACGUACAAGCAGUGGGAGCACAGGUUUACCUGUGUGACUGCGUACCUUUUGUAUAAUGGGUCAGCGACUUAUAUUCUGUAGCAAGGUUAACCGUAUAGGGGAGCCGUAGGGAAACCGAGUCUUAACCGGGCGUUAAGUUGCAGGGUAUAGACCCGAAACCCGGUGAUCUAGCCAUGGGCAGGUUGAAGGUUGGGUAACACUAACUGGAGGACCGAACCGACUAAUGUUGAAAAAUUAGCGGAUGACCUGUGGCUGGGGGUGAAAGGCCAAUCAAACCGGGAGAUAGCUGGUUCUCCCCGAAAGCUAUUUAGGUAGCGCCUCGUGAAUUCAUCUCCGGGGGUAGAGCACUGUUUCGGCUAGGGGGCCAUCCCGGCUUACCAACCCGAUGCAAACUGCGAAUACCGGAGAAUGUUAUCACGGGAGACACACGGCGGGUGCUAACGUCCGUCGUGAAGAGGGAAACAACCCAGACCGCCAGCUAAGGUCCCAAAGUCAUGGUUAAGUGGGAAACGAUGUGGGAAGGCCCAGACAGCCAGGAUGUUGGCUUAGAAGCAGCCAUCAUUUAAAGAAAGCGUAAUAGCUCACUGGUCGAGUCGGCCUGCGCGGAAGAUGUAACGGGGCUAAACCAUGCACCGAAGCUGCGGCAGCGAACGUAUCACCCAAGACAACUUUACGGAGUUGACGAUUGACGGAGCGAAGCGACGUCAAAGCGUUCAUUAAAGUCGAGUUGGCUUAGGGAUACGUUCGUUGGGUAGGGGAGCGUUCUGUAAGCCUGUGAAGGUGUGUCGUGAGGCAUGCUGGAGGUAUCAGAAGUGCGAAUGCUGACAUAAGUAACGAUAAAGCGGGUGAAAAGCCCGCUCGCCGGAAGACCAAGGGUUCCUGUCCAACGUUAAUCGGGGCAGGGUGAGUCGACCCCUAAGGCGAGGCCGAAAGGCGUAGUCGAUGGGAAACGGGUUAAUAUUCCCGUACUUGGUGUUACUGCGAAGGGGGGACGGAGAAGGCUAUGUUGGCCGGGCGACGGUUGUCCCGGUUUAAGCGUGUAGGUGUGUGUUCCAGGUAAAUCCGGUUCACUUUAACACUGAGGCGUGACGACGAGGCACUACGGUGCUGAAGCAACAAAUGCCCUGCUUCCAGGAAAAGCCUCUAAGCAUCAGGUAACAUCAAAUCGUACCCCAAACCGACACAGGUGGUCAGGUAGAGAAUACCAAGGCGCUUGAGAGAACUCGGGUGAAGGAACUAGGCAAAAUGGUGCCGUAACUUCGGGAGAAGGCACGCUGACACGUAGGUGAAAUGAUUUACUCAUGGAGCUGAAGUCAGUCGAAGAUACCAGCUGGCUGCAACUGUUUAUUAAAAACACAGCACUGUGCAAACACGAAAGUGGACGUAUACGGUGUGACGCCUGCCCGGUGCCGGAAGGUUAAUUGAUGGGGUCAGCGUAAGCGAAGCUCCUGAUCGAAGCCCCGGUAAACGGCGGCCGUAACUAUAACGGUCCUAAGGUAGCGAAAUUCCUUGUCGGGUAAGUUCCGACCUGCACGAAUGGCGUAAUGAUGGCCAGGCUGUCUCCACCCGAGACUCAGUGAAAUUGAACUCGCUGUGAAGAUGCAGUGUACCCGCGGCAAGACGGAAAGACCCCGUGAACCUUUACUAUAGCUUGACACUGAACAUUGAGCCUUGAUGUGUAGGAUAGGUGGGAGGCUUUGAAGUGUGGACGCCAGUCUGCAUGGAGCCGACCUUGAAAUACCACCCUUUAAUGUUUGAUGUUCUAACGUGGACCCGUAAUCCGGGUUGCGGACAGUGUCUGGUGGGUAGUUUGACUGGGGCGGUCUCCUCCUAAAGAGUAACGGAGGAGCACGAAGGUUGGCUAAUCCUGGUCGGACAUCAGGAGGUUAGUGCAAUGGCAUAAGCCAGCUUGACUGCGAGCGUGACGGCGCGAGCAGGUGCGAAAGCAGGUCAUAGUGAUCCGGUGGUUCUGAAUGGAAGGGCCAUCGCUCAACGGAUAAAAGGUACUCCGGGGAUAACAGGCUGAUACCGCCCAAGAGUUCAUAUCGACGGCGGUGUUUGGCACCUCGAUGUCGGCUCAUCACAUCCUGGGGCUGAAGUAGGUCCCAAGGGUAUGGCUGUUCGCCAUUUAAAGUGGUACGCGAGCUGGGUUUAGAACGUCGUGAGACAGUUCGGUCCCUAUCUGCCGUGGGCGCUGGAGAACUGAGGGGGGCUGCUCCUAGUACGAGAGGACCGGAGUGGACGCAUCACUGGUGUUCGGGUUGUCAUGCCAAUGGCACUGCCCGGUAGCUAAAUGCGGAAGAGAUAAGUGCUGAAAGCAUCUAAGCACGAAACUUGCCCCGAGAUGAGUUCUCCCUGAGACUUAGAGUCUCCUGAAGGAACGUUGAAGACGACGACGUUGAUAGGCCGGGUGUGUAAGCGCAGCGAUGCGUUGAGCUAACCGGUACUAAUGAACCGUGAGGCUUAACCUU
rnacentral:rRNA from 1 species